rnacentral:lncRNA from 1 species
AAAACAAAUAAUUAAACAAACAAAAUAAUAGUUAAAAUAAAGGCUAAAUUAUAAAAAACACUCCUGUCAAAAUGCGAUUUUUCACUUUUCCCUCAUGUCAUUUAAAAACCUACACUUUACCCCCUUGUAAAAUAAAAAAUAUGGACUUUUUCUCCUACCGUUAGUGAUCCGUUAGGGUUCCAUUAUAAAAUAUUUUUUAUGCCAAAAAUAUCUCUCUGCCUUCUUUCUUGUUGCUUCGCCGCCUCGCCUUCCUCCACUGCCUCGCCCUUGCCCACAUACCCGUCCGUGCCUACAAACACCCCUUCGCCCUUCUCCGCCGUCUCGCCUUCACCCUUGUUGCUGUUACCCACCUCUCCAUCCAUCCCCACCUCGAUUUUCACCCUACUGUCGCCGAAACCGCAACAGAUUGAGGCAUAAACCGCGACCGAUCAAGGCUGCUGUUGAGGAAGAUGAAGGAGGAGACGACAAUGGUGAGGGGCAAAAUUGUCAUUUUAUCAUCACAGCACACACCGUACCCCUGUGAACAUAUUUUAUUUUAAAAGGGGGCAAAGUGUAGGUUUUUAAAUGACAGGGAAAGUGAAAAAUCAGGUUUUGACAGAAAAUUUUAUGUAAUUUAGCCUAAAAUAAAAGCAGCUGUGAAAAAAAGAAAAUCUAAAACGGCAAGCCACUAGCAUUGAAAAUGAAAAUUUAUUCAAAACAAAUUAUUGAAAGUGAAAAAAAAUAUUUGAAAUGUUAUAUAGAUAUAUAUUAGAAUGUAAAACGAAUAUAAAAUUUUACAAAAAUUAUUAUUUUU